rnacentral:rRNA from 1 species
AACGAACGCUGGCGGCGCGUCUUAAGCAUGCAAGUCGAGCGGUAAGAUUGGUGCUUGCACUGAUCCUAGAGCGGCGGACUGGUGAGUAACGCGUGGGUGACGUACCUCUGUGACGGGGACAGCUCCUAGAAAUAGGAGAUAAUACCGGAUACGCUGUGUGCUGUCAGAGGGCACACAGGAAAGGAUCUUUUGAUCCGCACAGAGAGCGGCCCGCGUACUAUUAGCUAGUUGGUGAGGUAACGGCCCACCAAGGCGACGAUAGUUACCCGGCCUAAGAGGGUGAUCGGGCACAUUGGGACUGAGAUACGGCCCAGACUCC